GGCUAAAUAACAUAAAUGGUAAUGUAUAAAAUUGCAAAUUUUAGAAUAAAGGUUCAAUUCCUUUUUUAGCCU
rnacentral:tRNA from 2 species